rnacentral:sRNA from 1 species
ACACGGGAAAGGAGGUGGUCCAACGUUGAAUAUCAACAGGACUCGUGAGGUGGCUGUCCGCUAGGACCGCCAACGGCCUUCACAACGUCGGCCCCGUGGUGCACCGCGGGAUAAGCGUCCGGCGAAUUCCAGGCAGCUACCCGACCCCCGGAGCUCCGAGCCACAGUCCAGGCUCGGCCUGCGCAGCAGGAAGAAGCCCGGGGGUCGCUGCUG